AGAGUUUGAUCCUGGCUCAGGAUAAACGCUGGCGGCGUGCCUAACACAUGCAAGUCGAACGCCCUUAGCAAUAAGGGAGUGGCGGACGGGUGAGUAACACGUGGGUCAUCUACCUCGGGUGAGGAAUACCGGCGAGAAAUCGCCGACAAUACCGCAUAUGCUCGCAAGAGCAAAGCCAGCAAUGGCGCCUGAGGAUGAGC
rnacentral:rRNA from 1 species